rnacentral:rRNA from 1 species
CACGUAGGCGGACUAUUAAGUCGGAGGUGAAAUCCCAGGGCUCAACCCUGGAACUGCCUUUGAUACUGGUAGUCUUGAGUUCGAGAGAGGUGAGUGGAAUUCCGAGUGUAGAGGUGAAAUUCGUAGAUAUUCGGAGGAACACCAGUGGCGAAGGCGGCUCACUGGCUCGAUACUGACGCUGAGGUGCGAAAGUGUGGGGAGCAAACA